rnacentral:rRNA from 1 species
GUAGUUAGCCGGGGCUUUCUUACAGGGUACCGUCACUUCUUCGUCCCCUGCGACAGAGGUUUACAAUCCGAAAACCUUCUUCCCUCACGCGGCGUUGCUGGGUCAGGCUUGCGCCCAUUGCCCAAUAUUCCCCACUGCUGCCUCCCGUAGGAGUCUGGACCGUGUCUCAGUUCCAGUGUGGCCGAUCACCCUCUCAGGUCGGCUACCCAUCGUAGUCUUGGUGGGCCGUUACCUCACCAACUAACUAAUGGGACGCGAACUCACCCUUUUGCGGAUUGCUCCUUUUACCUCAUGGCCAUGUGGCCCCGUGGUCUUAUGCGGUAUUAGCAACUGUUUCCAGUUGUUAUCCCCCUCAAAACGGACAGAUUGUUCACGCGUUACUCACCCGUCCGCCGCUCGAACACGGAACCGAAGCUCCAUGUCCUCGCUCGACUUGCAUGUGUUAGGCACGCCGCCAGCGUUCGUCCUGAGCCAGAAUCGAACCCUGA